UACGGAGGGUGCAAGCGUUAUCCGGAUUCACUGGGUUUAAAGGGUGCGUAGGCGGCCCUGUAAGUCAGUGGUGAAAUACUCUAGCUUAACUAGAGGGGUGCCAAUGAUACUGCAGGGCUUGAGUACAGAUGAGGUAGGCGGAAUUGACGGUGUAGCGGUGAAAUGCAUAGAUAUCGUCAAGAACACCGAUAGCGAAGGCAGCUUACUGGGCUGUAACUGACGCUGAUGCACGAAAGUGUGGGGAUCAAACAGG
rnacentral:rRNA from 1 species